rnacentral:rRNA from 1 species
UUUAAGGUCUAAUCCUGCCCUAUGAGGUUUUAAAUGGCCGCGGUAUUUUGACCGUGCAAAGGUAGCAUAAUAAUUAGUUUUUUAAUUGAAAGCUGGAAUGAAUGAUUGGACGAGAAAAUUACUGUCUCAAGUUGAUUUUAUUAGAGUUUUAUUUUUAAGUAAAAAAGCUUAAAUUUCAUUAAAAGACGAGAAGACCCUAUAGAGUUUUAUAAAAUUAUAUUUAUAGUCUUUGAGGAAUUUUUUUUUGUUUAUAUUUAUAAUUUUAUUUUAUUGGGGUGAUAGUAAAAUUUAAUAAACUUUUUUUUUAUAAAUUCAUUAAUAUAUGUUUAUUUGAUCCAUUAUUUAUGAUUAUAAGAUUAAAUUACCUUAGGGAUAACAGCGUAAUUUUUUUUUAGAGUUCUUAUUCAAAGAAAAAAUUGGCACCCCCAUGUUGGAUUAAAAUUAAUUUUUGGGGGCGGGGCUUAUAAAGUGGGGCUGUUCCACCCUUAAAAAUUUACC